CCAAUAGCGUAUAUUAAAGUUGUUGCAGUUAAAAAGCUCGUAGUUGAAUUUCGGGAUCAGUUGGUCGGUCGUGCUUCGGUACGUACUGGUCAAAUUGAUUCCUACCUUCUGACGAACCACGAUGUCAUUAAUUUGGUGUCGCGGGAAAUCAGGACUGUUACUUUGAAAAAAUUAGAGUGUUUAAAGCAAGCUCGCGCUUGAAUACAUUAGCAUGGAAUAA
rnacentral:rRNA from 1 species